rnacentral:rRNA from 1 species
AACUCGGCAAAUUGACACCGUAACUUCGGAAGAAGGUGUGCCUUUAGUAGGUGAACCAUUUACUUGGGGAGCCCAAUGAGGUCGCAGAGAAUCGGUGGCUGCAACUGUUUAAUAAAAACACAGCACUCUGCAAAGACGAAAGUCGACGUAUAGGGUGUGACGCCUGCCCGGUGCUGGAAGAUUAAUUGAUGGGGUGCAAGCUCUUGAUCGAAGUCCCAGUAAACGGCGGCCGUAACUAUAACGGUCCUAAGGUAGCGAAAUUCCUUGUCGGGUAAGUUCCGACCUGCACGAAUGGCGUAAUGAUGGCCACACUGUCUCCUCCAGAGACUCAGCGAAGUUGAAAUGUUUGUGAUGAUGCAAUCUCCCCGCGGAAAGACGGAAAGACCCCAUGAACCUUUACUGUAGCUUUGUAUUGGACUUUGAACAGAUCUGUGUAGGAUAGGUGGGAGGCUUUGAAGCGGUGCCGCUAGGUCUCGUGGAGCCAACGUUGAAAUACCACCCUGGUGUGUUUGAGGUUCUAACCUAGGUCCAUUAUCUGGAUCGGGGACAGUGCAUGGUAGGCAGUUUGACUGGGGCGGUCUCCUCCCAAAGUGUAACGGAGGAGUUCGAAGGUACGCUAGUUACGGUCGGACAUCGUGACGAUAGUGCAAUGGCAUAAGCGUGCUUAACUGCGAGACUGACAAGUCGAGCAGAUGCGAAAGCAGGACAUAGUGAUCCGGUGGUUCUGUAUGGAAGGGCCAUCGCUCAACGGAUAAAAGGUACUCUGGGGAUAACAGGCUGAUACCGCCCAAGAGUUCAUAUCGACGGCGGUGUUUGGCACCUCGAUGUCGGCUCAUCUCAUCCUGGGGCUGAAGUCGGUCCCAAGGGUAUGGCUGUUCGCCAUUUAAAGAGGUACGUGAGCUGGGUUUAAAACGUCGUGAGACAGUUUGGUCCCUAUCUUCCGUGGGCGCUGCAGAUUUGAGGAAGCCUGCUCCUAGUACGAGAGGACCGGAGUGGACACACCUCUGGUGUAUCGGUUGUCACGCCAGUGGCAUUGCCGAGUAGCUAAGUGUGGAAGAGAUAACCGCUGAAAGCAUCUAAGCGGGAAACUCGUCUCAAGAUGAGUCUUGCCGGGGCCUUGAGCCCCCUGAAGAGUCGUUCAAGACCAGGACGUUGAUAGGUUGGGUGUGGAAGCGCAGUAAUGCGUUAAGCUAACCAAUACUAAUUGC